CUGAGAGCCAACUUCAGCCAUCGGGCUAAGUCGUCAUCAGUUCUUUUCAUUCCUCCAUAGAUCUCCGAGAGAGAGAGAGAGAAGGAGAGAGAAGGAGGGAGAAAUGCCAGUUUGAAUAUGGAUCGAAUACUGAAAGCGGCAAGAGCUUCAGGUUCUCUUAAUCUCUCAAAUCGCUCGCUCAGGGAAGUGCCCAAUGAAGUUUAUCAAAAUCUGGAUGGAAUUGAGGAGGGUGGAAAAUGGUGGGAGGCUGCCGAGAUCCAGAAGCUUAUUUUGGCUCAUAAUGACAUUGAAGUAUUGAAAGAGGAUGUAAGAAAUUUGUCUACGUUAUCUGUCUUGAAUAUUAGUCACAACAGGCUUUCUCAUCUUCCAGCUGCUAUAGGAGAGCUUUCGUUGCUAAAAUCACUUGAUGUGUCAUUUAAUUUGAUAGUCAGUAUACCUGAAGAGAUUGGAUCAGCAACUUCCCUUGUCAAGUUUGAUUGUUCAAACAACUGUCUUAAAGACCUUCCAAGCUCCCUUGGAAGAUGUAUAGGUUUGUCGGACCUCAAGGUGUCCAACAAUGGUAUUACCAGAUUGCCAGAGGAAUUAGCCAACUGUUCAAAAAUGAUGAAACUGGAUGUGGAGGGGAACAAGCUAACAGUGAUAUCUGAGAAGUUGCUUGCAUCAUGGACCAUGCUGACAGAACUCAAUGCUUCUAAAAAUUUACUUAGCAGUAUCCCCGAAAAUAUUGGACUGCUUUCACGAAUUAUUCGUCUCGACUUGCAUCAGAAUAGGAUCUUAUCUAUUCCAUCAUCAAUCGAUGGAUGCCGUUCUCUCACAGAAUUCUAUAUGGGAAACAAUAUGCUUGCUACUUUGCCGGCUGAGUUCGGGGCACUGUCCUCCUUAGGAACAGUAGAUCUUCACUCAAACCAGUUGAAGGAGUAUCCUGUGGAGGCAUGUAGGUUGCAUCUCUCAGUCCUAGAUUUGUCAAAUAAUUCAUUGUCUGGUCUGCCGCCUGAGAUUGGCACAAUGACGACGCUCAGAAAGCUUCUGCUCACUGGCAAUCCUCUGCGAACAUUGCGAAGUUCACUUGUAUCUGGGCCUACACCCACUUUAUUGAAGUAUCUGCGAAGUAGACUUUCUACUGAUGAAGAAUCUGGACCCGCGACUGCUACUCCAGAAAAAGAUCAAAUUGUUAUGGCAGCUCGAUCAUCUAUCUCAUCAAAGGAACUCUCUUUAGUUGGAUUGGGCUUGACUGCUGUCCCACCGGCAGUAUGGGAAUCAGGAGAAAUUGUUAAGGUUGAUCUUUCUAGAAAUUCAAUUCAAGAGCUACCAAAUGAGUUGUCGCUAUGUGCUUCCCUCCAGGCUCUGAUUUUGUCUGGAAACAAGAUAAAAGAAUGGCCAAGUGAAGUUUUGCAGUCACUUUCUAGUCUUUCAUGUUUGAAGUUGGACAAUAAUCCAUUCAGAAAGAUCCCAUCAGAUGGAUUUCAAAACCUCCCGAAGCUCCAGAUUCUGGAUUUAAGUGGUAAUGCAACUUCUUUACCAGAAAAUCCUGCAUUUGCGAGCUUGCCACAGCUGCAAGAGCUUUACCUGAGAAAGAUGCAGCUACAUGAAGUCCCUUCAGAUUUACUGAGCCUACAUCAACUACGGAUUCUGGACUUAAGCCAAAAUUGCCUGCAAUCAAUACCUGAGGGGUUCAAGAACCUCACUUCUCUUGUUGAGUUCGACCUUUCUGAUAACAACAUUGCAACACUACCUCCUGAGUUGGGGGUGCUUGAAACCAGCCUACAGGCCUUGAGACUUGAUGGAAACCCAUUAAGAAGCAUUCGGCGUGCCAUACUGGAUAGGGGAACUAAGGCUGUGUUGAAGUAUUUGAAGGACAAAAUUCCAGAGCAAUAGGUUAGUUGCACUCAUUAUUUAUAAUUAUUAUGGUGUGUUGGACCAAUUAAGAAGUUGAUCCAAUUGGUUGCCAUUUUUACUGAGUUGUUUGAUUACUUGAUUUGAUUAUGUAUCAGUGUGGUACCAGUAACGUGUCAACACUGUGUUCUAUCAUUCUGGUCAUAUAUUUACCUAUUUGGAAAUUUUAUUUAGACUACUAAACAAAAAGGAGCUUUCUCAUGAUCCCAAUACU